rnacentral:rRNA from 1 species
UACGUAGGGCGCAAGCGUUGUCCGGAAUUAUUGGGCGUAAAGAGCUCGUAGGCGGCCUGUCGCGUCGGAUGUGAAAGCCCGGGGCUUAACCCCGGGUCUGCAUUCGAUACGGGCAGGCUAGAGUUCGGUAGGGGAGAUCGGAAUUCCUGGUGUAGCGGUGAAAUGCGCAGAUAUCAGGAAGAACACCCGUGGCUAAGGCGGCUCUCUAGUACGUGACUGACGCUGAGACGCGAAAGCGUGGGGAGCGAACAGG